AGAGUUUGAUCCUGGCUCAGGAUGAACGCUGACAGAAUGCUUAACACAUGCAAGUCUACUUGAUCCUUCGGGUGAUGGUGGCGGACGGGUGAGUAACGCGUAAAGAACUUGCCCUGCAGUCUGGGACAACAUUUGGAAACGAAUGCUAAUACCGGAUAUUAUGUGAGUUUCGCAUGAAAUUCAUAUGAAAGCUAUAUGCGCUGCAGGAGAGCUUUGCGUCCUAUUAGCUAGUUGGUGAGGUAACGGCUCACCAAGGCGAUGAUAGGUAGCCGGCCUGAGAGGGUGAACGGCCACAAGGGGACUGAGACACGGCCCUUACUCCUACGGGAGGCAGCAGUGGGGAAUAUUGGACAAUGGACCAAAAGUCUGAUCCAGCAAUUCUGUGUGCACGAUGAAGUUUUUCGGAAUGUAAAGUGCUUUCAGUUGGGACGAAGUAAGUGACGGUACCAACAGAAGAAGCGACGGCUAAAUACGUGCCAGCAGCCGCGGUAAUACGUAUGUCGCAAGCGUUAUCCGGAUUUAUUGGGCGUAAAGCGCGUCUAGGCGGUUUGGUAAGUCUGAUGUGAAAAUGCGGGGCUCAACUCCGUAUUGCGUUGGAAACUGCCAAACUAGAGUACUGGAGAGGUGGGCGGAACUACAAGUGUAGAGGUGAAAUUCGUAGAUAUUUGUAGGAAUGCCGAUGGGGAAGCCAGCCCACUGGACAGAUACUGACGCUAAAGCGCGAAAGCGUGGGUAGCAAACAGGAUUAGAUACCCUGGUAGUCCACGCCGUAAACGAUGAUUACUAGGUGUUGGGGGUCGAACCUCAGCGCCCAAGCUAACGCGAUAAGUAAUCCGCCUGGGGAGUACGUACGCAAGUAUGAAACUCAAAGGAAUUGACGGGGACCCGCACAAGCGGUGGAGCAUGUGGUUUA
rnacentral:rRNA from 2 species